rnacentral:rRNA from 1 species
UACGUAGGUGGCAAGCGUUGUCCGGAAUUAUUGGGCGUAAAGCGCGCGCAGGCGGUCCUUUAAGUCUGAUGUGAAAGCCCACGGCUCAACCGUGGAGGGUCAUUGGAAACUGGGGGACUUGAGUGCAGAAGAGGAAAGCGGAAUUCCACGUGUAGCGGUGAAAUGCGUAGAGAUGUGGAGGAACACCAGUGGCGAAGGCGGCUUCUUGGUCUGUAACUGACGCUGAGGCGCGAAAGCGUGGGGAGCAAACAG